rnacentral:rRNA from 1 species
UACGUAGGUGGCAAGCGAUACUCGGAAUCACUAGGCGUAAAGCGCAGGUAGGCGGUUUGGUAAGUCUUUUGUGAAAGCUCCCGGCUUAACUGGGAGAGGUCAAGGGAAACUACCGGACUAGAGUGUGGUAGGGGAUACUGGAAUUCCUGGUGUAGCGGUGAAAUGCGUAGAUAUCAGGAGGAAUACCUAUGGCGAAAGCAGGUAUCUGGGCCAUCACUGACGCUGAGCUGCGAAAGCUAGGGGAGCGAACAGG